GGGUCGUUAGCUCAGUUGGUAGAGCAGUUGACUUUUAAUCAAUUGGUCUCAGGUUCGAGCCGAGCGAAGCGAGACGACAACGCGCAGCGUUGCCCGCAGGGUGAGGCCAGAGGCCGAAUCAAUCCUGCACGACUUACCA
rnacentral:tRNA from 1 species